CUAAGCCAGUGGGUUAACAGUGGCAGUGCAAAUAAAUAGACACAUAAGACUUGCUGGCAGAUUUGUAUUUUGGAGUGAAACAAAAUAAUCAAGAAAACCUGUUGUUUUGUGUUUGGAUAACUGGGUGUGUGGUAAGCAGUUUACUGAGGAAGAAAUGGAAAAGAGUUUUAUCAACAAAAAUCAGUAAUUCUAUUUUUGGCCUUUAAAGUUUAAUGUAAGUUCAUACGUGAUGUUCACCUGUCAUACAGGAGAUUUUCUAAAUGAGUCUGGACUUGAGGAGACUGGUCAGCACUGAAGAGAGAAAUCUGGAGUCUUGAGUAGAUACGAUUCUACUUUAAGAUAUAAGACUGGAUGAGAGAGAAUGUAAUAGAGAAAAGAUAUUCAGAACUGAGCUCUGGGCACAUCAAAAUAGAAUUUCAGAGGAAACAGCACCAACGAGUAAAAGGAAAGUAAAGGGCUGACGAAGAAGUCGUGGAAACAAACUAUUUCAACAAGCAGCAGCAGCAGUUUGGAGAGGUUUAUUUAAAACAAGGCAGAAUUCCCUACUGCCCUAAAAGCCUCAACUUGGAAAACAGCACGGUGAAUGGAAGAAAACCAGGCCUGGGGACUGAGGGGCUGCUGUGGCUCUCAUCUUGAUAAGAAGAAAGGAUGAGCACCAACUUACCCCAGCUUCUGUCCAUCUGUAACACAUUUGCUGCUACAGAUUGUGUCUGUAUAGAGAAGAGAGAAGACGCAAAGCUCUUCUUCCAGUCCUUGAAGUCUGCAGCCUGGGUGUCUGCAGAGGACAAUGCCUUGUUCUUUAAGAUACCCAGCAUGGCACUGCAGUACAUCUAUAAAAAAUGCAAGUGAGAUAAAAUAUAAAAAUAAGAAUUAAAAAUUAAAUACAAGAUAAUAGAAGGAAAAUAACACAAUUAUGCAAUGUGAAAAAAAUGUAAGAAUGUAAAAAAACGAAGUAUUUUAAUUAGAAAAAUAAAGUUAAAUAAUGUAUAAAUGUAGAAAAAUUAAGAAAAGAAUCAACAAACUAGAGAAAAAUGGAAGUACAUAAAUCUUAGAUAAAAUUAAAAAUCAUAGGCUAAUCUAUGAAAAGCAAAAGGAAAGAAAGUGCUGACAGAAAAUAACCCAAAAGAGAAAGUAAAGAAAAAAUAAGGGAGAAAGAAAGUCAAGAACAGAAAAUGUAAAGAAACAGAAAUAAUGUUAAGAAAAAGAAAAAAAAAAUUAGAGGGGGAUGUGGAUGAAUGCAGGCAAAAAAAAAAAAGGGAAAGAACAGAGAAAGUGAAAAUUAAGGAGAGAGGGAGGGAAAGGAAAUCAUUAAAAUCAAAAGAAAAAAUAAUUAUUAAGGAAAACAAAUUAGAAAAUAAAAAUGAUAAAAAUGUAGUUAAGGAAGAAAGAAAAGUAAGAAAGGAAUAUAAACAAUGAGAAAACAGAAAUGCAAGUGAUCAAAAGUCAUAAGACACAAAAGUAAAAGAAAAAAUAAAACUAAGAAAGUAAUAGAAAUACCAAAAGCAAAAUAGAACGUGAAAAUAAUACAGACAGUAAAUAAAAUCAUGAUUAAGUAAAAACUAGAAAAUAAGGUAAAAAAAAAUAAAGCAAAGAAAUCAAGUGAAGAAAGAAAAGGAAGUAUGGAUGCACAGACUCUCUCUGGACGGGAGAAGGAGGCACCCCUUCUUUACUGUGACAACACGAGUGCUCCACCUUGAAAUGAGGCUGUUGGGCAGAAAUGGAGAAAACAUUGGGUUUUGAUGAGUGAAUGCAGUUCCCCAAAAGCCUUUCUUCCAGUUACACUUUCAGACUGGCGAGGGUGAGCUAUUGAUAAUAUUAUUUAAUCCCCAAAUUACAGGUGCAUCAUAUCUUGAACAAGAUCAGGGACAUAGGAGUUUACUGUGGAAGACGAUGAUGAGAGAGAAGAGGAUAAAGAACUAAAAGUUAAGAAUCAGACCGGGCAUGGUGGCUCACACCUGUAAUCCUAGCACUUUGGGAAGCCAAUGUGGGUAGGUCACUUGAGGUUGGGAGUUCGAGACCAGCCUGGCCAACAUGGUGAAAUCCCGUCUCUACCAAAAAAUACAAAAAUUAGCCAGGCGCACCUGUAGUCCCAGCUACUCAGGAGGCUGAGGCAAGAGAAUCGCUUGAAAUCAGGAGGCGGAGGUUCCAGUGAGCUGAGAUCACACCACUGCACUCCAGCCUGGGGAACAAAAUGAGGCCCUGUCUCAAAAAAAAAAAAAAAAAAGAAAAGAAAAAAAAGUAGUUAAGAAUCAUAAAUUUAAAGCUAAUGAACAUAACAAUGGCAAAUAAAAGAUAAUAAAGCCAUAUGCUAAAAAUACAAAAUAACUAAAAAUGAAUGAAUUUGUGAAGAAGAAAAAUAGGUAGACAGAAAGACAGGGUGGAAAGAAGAAAGGAAAGGAGGAAAAAUAUUAUACCAAGGAAAAGAGAGCAAAUUUUAAAGAAAACAGAACAAUAAAAAAGAAAAACUAGUUAGUUGUACUUGAAAUCUGGCUAUUUCAUUGAAACACAUUUGCUAUUGUGUAUGAAGAAUCAAUAACAUGGACAGGGAAGAAAGAAGUUAUAAUUAUCUUUCAAAAGCUCUUAUUUCUCCAGUCUUCGUUAAGGUAUGAAGCAUCUGCAAAAAGUCCUGCAAAAGUGUCAAGAUAGAAUUACCUUUCUGAAUCAUUAUUUCUUUUGCAGCAAUUAUCCCCCUGAAUAAUAAAGUUAUGGAAAUGAAUGAUAGAACCAACCUGAGGAAAUUAAUCAGCAAGCCUGGGAAUACAAUUUGGGUCUCCUUAACAAUAUUCCAACUUAAUUGAAAACAAGGACAGUUAGAACAUCAUCUAACAACACAGGGACACUAUCAGAAGAAGACCACGAAAGGUUAUGCCCUUUGGAGUCAAUAUUGAGGUUCUCUAUCACACUGGAAAGAAACAGACCUCAGACAACGGAUUACUAACCACACUUCACUGAAAGCACCAUCAGAGAAACAUGUGACAAAGACAUGGAGAUCAAUGUGCUACUCUGGAAUAUCUCUGCAUUUCCCCAAGACUGUCCUGAAAGACCAGCAAUGGAGAAUAGUUGUACCAGGAGUGGAGUGGUCAGAUGUGUCUGUCUUUGUCAUACAUUGCUAGCAAUUUUGGUUGUUUCUCAAUAAACAUUUUUAAAAUUUAUUUUCCCUAAAUUGUUCACUGUUCACAUUCAUCCAUUUAUCCACUUACUCAAUAAUUAUUUUUUGAGUAUCUAUUCUGCGGUGAAAUUAAAGACCAAAGUAGGGGAUAGAGAAGUAAAGUUGAGAUCACUGGGCUUUAUUACUUUUUAAAGCCAGGGGAUAGCAAUGACGUCAGCUUGAGAAUGAGUUACAAUAGCAACCAGUAAAGGAUAGCACUGGCUUUAAACAAAAAUAAACCACCAGAAUAUAUUUUCUGAUUUAUCUGUGUUUCUGAUGAGGACAUCCGUUUAUCUAUUUUAAAUGAAGUGUUGCUAGAUACCCACCAGUUUUCAAGAAUCUAACCACUGGGUAAAUAAAAGGAAAAAAUGGGAAAUUCUGACACAAGAGUGAAAUAUGAAUGAGUG
rnacentral:lncRNA from 1 species